GGGGGGGGGGGGGGGGGGGGGGGGGGGGGGGGGGGGGGGGGAGGGCGGGGGGUGGAGGGGCGGGCGGGUGCGUAACGGGGGGGAGCCUGGCGUGAGGGGCGGACGAAGGCCGCGAAAGGGGGGGUAAGACCGGAUCAUGGCUUCGGACCCCAGAUUUGUCGCCUGUGGAUGGGCCCGCGUUGGAGUAGCUAGUUGGUAGGGUAAAAGCCUACCAAGGCGACUGUCCAUAGCUGGUCUGAGAGGAUGAUCAGCCACACUGGGACUGAGACACGGCCCAGACUCCUACGGGAGGCAGCAGUGGGGAAUAUUGGACAAUGGGCGAAAGCCUGAUCCAGCAAUGCCGCGUGAGUGAUGAAGGCCUUAGGGUUGUAAAGCUCUUUUACCCGGGAUGAUAAUGACAGUACCGGGAGAAUAAGCUCCGGCUAACUCCGUG
rnacentral:rRNA from 1 species